rnacentral:tRNA from 1 species
GCCUGGCUAGCUCAGUCAGAAGUGCAUAUGACUCUUGAUCUUGAGGUCAUGGGUUUGAGCCUCAUGUUGGGUA